GAUGAACGCUGGCGGCGUGCCUAAUACAUGCAAGUCGAGCGAACGGACGAGAAGCUUGCUUCUCUGAUGUUAGCGGCGGACGGGUGAGUAACACGUGGAUAACCGACCUAUAAGACUGGGAUAACUUCGGGAAACCGGAUCUAAUACCGGAUAAUAUUUUGAACCGCAUGGUUCAAAAGUAAAAGACGUUCUUGCUGUCACUUAUAGAUGGACCCGCGCUGCAUUAGCUAGUUGGUAAGGUAACGGCUUACCAAGGCAACGUUGCAUAGCGGACCUGGCAGGUGGAUCGGCAAACUCGGAACUGGGACACGGUCCAACCCCCUAGGGGAGGCAGCAGUAGGAAAUCUGGAGCAAUGGGCGAAAGCUUGACGGAGCAACGCCGCGUGAGUGAUGAAGGUCUUCGGUUCGUAAAACUCUGUUAUUGGGGAAGAACAUAUGUGGAAGUAACUGUGCACAUCUUGACGGUACAAAAUCAGAAAGCCACGCCAAACUACGU
rnacentral:rRNA from 1 species